rnacentral:lncRNA from 1 species
UUUUUUUUUAGAUAUCAUGAACGUACAUAUGAGGAAAUCCUACCUAGGUAGGGAUCUUAACUCUUUACAAUUAUCUGUAAGACAUAAAAGAAACAUUUUAUUUAAAAAAUAAAUAAAUUGGGGGACUACACCAAAAUCAAAGGAAACAAACACUAUAGAAAACUGUUUCGUUGAAAACCUUAACAAGAAAAUCCAAUGCGAUAAAAUUUGGUGAAGUAAAAAAGAGUGCAGCGUAUACACAUAAAAUUAAAUUUAACAGCUAGAUAAACAUAAUUUAUAUUUUUAAAUAAAAAUUAAAAGUUGAAAUAUUGUGAUGUCCCCUAGUUUCAAUCGUGCAAUUAUGGAAGUUCACGAAUAUGUUCCAAACAAACACCAUUAAGACACUUAAAAUAUUGAGGUUCACCCAUCUUUGGACAAUCAGUGUCAGUAACGCAACGAACAACCCAGAUUAUUUCUACAUUGUCAGAUAAAGAAAAAAAAAUGUUACUAAAAUAUGAUAAAAUAGGAUGUACAAAAAAAUUAGAAAAAUUAAAAAACGGAGUAAAAAAAUGCAUACCCCCGGUUUCAGUCCUCUUGAACCACGCUUCUCCAAGAAAUAGAGAAAGAAAGAUAAUCAAAGAAUAAAUAAACAGAAGAAACUGAGCCAUAUUUUUCAUCCUUU